rnacentral:rRNA from 1 species
CAAUAGCGUAUAUUAAAGUUGUUGCGGUAAGAAAGCUCGUAGUUGGAUUUCUGUUGAGAGCGACCGGUCCAUACCAUGUAUGCGUAUCUGGCUUGCUCUCGGCAUCCUCUCGAUAGACGUUACUGCGCUUGAUUGCGUGGUGCGGAUCUCGGGACUUUUACUUUGAGGAAAUUAGAGUGUUCACGGCAGGCUUUCGCCAGAAUACAUUAGCAUGGAAUAAUACUAUAGGAUCUUGGUUCUAUUUUGUUGGUUUCUAGAAUUGAGAUAAUGAUUAAUAGGGACAAUUGGGGGCAUUCGUAUCAACACGUCAGAGGUGGAAUUCUUGGAUUGUGUUGCGACGAACUACUGCGAAAGCAUUUGCCAAGGAUGUUUUCAUUGA